rnacentral:rRNA from 1 species
AUGAACGCUGGCGGCGUGCCUAAUACAUGCAAGUCGAGCGAACAGACGAGGAGCUUGCUCCUCUGACGUUAGCGGCGGACGGGUGAGUAACACGUGGAUAACCUACCUAUAAGACUGGGAUAACUUCGGGAAACCGGAGCUAAUACCGGAUAAUAUAUUGAACCGCAUGGUUCAAUAGUGAAAGACGGUUUUGCUGUCACUUAUAGAUGGAUCCGCGCCGCAUUAGCUAGUUGGUAAGGUAACGGCUUACCAAGGCAACGAUGCGUAGCCGACCUGAGAGGGUGAUCGGCCACACUGGAACUGAGACACGGUCCAGACUCCUACGGGAGGCAGCAAUAGGGAAUCUUCCGCAAUGGGCGAAAGCCUGACGGAGCAACGCCGCGUGAGUGAUGAAGGUCUUCGGAUCGUAAAACUCUGUUAUUAGGGAAGAACAAAUGUGUAAGUAACUAUGCACGUCUUGACGGUACCUAAUCAGAAAGCCACGGCUAACUACGUG